GAGAGAUAGAAGAGAAGAGAAGAACCCGCUGAUCGAGAGGGGUGGGGGAGAUAGAAAGAGAGAGAGAGUGACAAAGAGAAAGAGAGAAAGUAUGGAGGGGUGGUAAAAGAGCGGCGUUCACGAAUAGAGGGGAGCUUGCGACUCGUAACCCGGCAGGAAGGCGACCCGCUCUCUCCGGUGGCUUGAUAGAGAGAGGAAGAGAGGGAGAGAGGAGAGAGAUAGAGAGAGAGAGAGAGAAAGAAUUCAUCGAUGUGUUGUAUGUUGGGUACGUACGAUGUGGGCUUCUCGUUGUGUACGUGCUACCCAACGAACUGAAAGAGAGAGAAGGGAGACUGGGGUAGUAUAAAUAGGGGAGGGGAGGGUUCAGGAAGGGUCAGGGGGGUUGUAUGGAAGCAGGGGAGAAAAUCAUGAUAUCCAUGAGUCCAGAAUGAAGAGGAAAAAAAAGAAAGGAAGCGAUGGAAGCCAAAGUUCUUCUUUUGGAUAGGAAGAACAGCACGGUAAGCAGAGUAUAUCAGAGCAUAGUACAGCAAGCAAGCAAGCAAGUAAGUAAGCAAGCAAGCAAGGAAGGAAGGCAGACGAGGCGAGCAGGCAUGCCGGUCGAAGGUGCGCGCGAACGCACGGCUGACGGGAGAGACGAGAGGAGAGAGUGAAAGAGAAGGGGCAGAGGGGGAGAGCAAGAAAAGAGCCAGAGAGAAAGAGAGAGAGAGAGAGACCGUAUUCGAGGACGGUAGGAUAAAACGAACGUUAGUUGAAAAGAGAAAGAGGAGUUGAGUGAGCGUUGGUGUGGGACAAAGAGGGGAGCCUAGCAAAGGGAUGAAGGAAGGGACUCGGAGAGGGGAAAGGGCAUAGCCCAGUGGAGGAGCGCUCGGCUGGCGUUCGUUGGAGAGUUAGGUUCAGUUUGGCACGAGUUCUCGUGGUGGUCGGGUCGUUUGUGUAACGUUUGCUUCUCUCCUGCCGCUGCGUGAGUUCUCACCACUGUCUCUCUUUCACUCUUUCUUUCCCUACCAUAUCCUACCCCAACCCCCCUCGCAACUAACCCAUCCCCUAUUGCUAGUAUUACCACCACCACUGUCUCAUCACCACCACCACUACUGCUACCACCACCACCACCACCACCACCAUCACCACUACCCUACAAUCUCUGGCACCCGCCGAGCAAGUCUCGAUGCCUUCUUCCUCGUCCUCGUCGUCAUCGUCGUCAUCGUCGUUGUCGUCGUCGUCGUCGUCAUCAUCGUUGUUGCCGUUAUCAUCGUCGUUGUCGUCGUCGUUGUCCUCAUCGUUAUUCCUAUCGCUGUUGUCCAUAACAGUAGUAGUAGUAGUAGUAGUUGCAAUUGUAUUAGUGGACCGCCGUUUGCCGUUAGUUGUUAAAACUGCCGCGCGGUAGUACUUGGCGCUCUCGUACGGCUCUACUUUUCGUCACCGUCUCUCUCCGCGCUUGUCGUAAACCGAGAAUAUUCGACUCUCGUUUCUCGUAUCAGAAAUGGACGAGUAGACUGGAUUAUUAUUGGAACAGUGCAUAACCAAAGGAAUAAUUAUGAACCUUCUGUACAUCUAAAAGUUUUAUCCUUGACGAACGGUCAACAAAAGGCCUUAGGAAUAAAAAAAAAAAAAAAAAA